ensembl:lncRNA
CUUGGGCAGGCUGGGACUGGCCAGGACACCACAGGGUUGCCAGGUGACAGACAACAGCGUGCCGAGCAGCUCCGGGGUGCACUGUGCCUCCUCCCAGGGAGGUUCCUCUCCGUGCCCCCCGGCCAUCACAGCGCAGGCAGCUGAGCCCGGCUGCAUCCCGCUUGGGACGUUCACUCUGAAGCGUAAUGAGGACCUUGAGCCUUCUGGAGCAGAGCCCUGCAACCCGGGGCACCCCAUCCCUGUCCCCCCCGCAGCAGCGCAGUGCUGGGACGUAUGGCAGAGCCUGCAGUGCCUCUCCUGACACUGUCGAUGUCCGUGGGACGGCCGUGGCUCCCGCUGAGGGCAGAGCUCCGGCUGCAGAUCCCAGCUUGGGAGGCUCCAGAUUUGCUGCUCCCCACGCAGGGAUGGUGGAACGCGGAGCGUGGAGCUGCUGGGGGCCACAGUGGGGCAGCAGGAGCAGCUCCAGCUCUGUGUGCACCGAGGAUGUGGCUGCCAGGUGUCGGGAGGGCACAGUGGGGACCUCCGAGGAGGAGGAGGAUGGCAGCGGGCAGGAUGGGGCCCCGCUCCCGUGGCAGUGCCCCUGGCAGGACAUGUCCCCAGGGCUGAUGAGGAGGGGGAGUCUGGAGUCGCUGGGAGCCAGGAUAUCCAGGCUGAGCCAGAGUGGGGCUGUGACCCCCUGCCCGGCCCCCUCCGGGCACCCAGCGCAGGGCAGGGGGGAUGCAUCCCACUGGGGCUCACGCUCCAGGGCAAAGCCCUCAGUCACCACUGUGCAUGGUGGGGAUGGGGACGCUGGACAUCUCCGGAGACCCUCAGGCAGCUCAGCCAGCAGGAGCAGGGCCAGGGCCAUGGGACACUGCAGAUGGCAGGAGCCACCAGCACGCCGGGGGUGGCAUGGAGGGGACGUCACCCUCACUGCAGAGAAGGAAGGAGAUGGCGACGGGCGGAGGAGAGCUCUCUGCACCAAAGCAGCAGUGGGACCCACCAGGAGAUGCAGCCCCUGGGCAGAGGGGCAGCACGAGGUGUCCUGCCCAGGGCAUGCAGCCAAGCCCCGGUGGCAGCGCUGGAAGCAGAAGGCCGUCCUGUCCCAUAGGCUGGCAGCGCUGCGCCGGGCCCUGAGGAGCAGCCAGGAGGGGAUGCAGGAGCCAGGAGCUGGAGCUCAGGGCAUGCAGAGCGAUGGGGAUGGGGCCAGGGCGCGUGCGUGGGAUUGUGUGGAUGUGGAGGAGGUGGUGAGCACUCUGAGAUGGGCAAAGGGGGGUGGCAGAGGGACAGGUUGGGGGGCAGCAGGGCAGGGGCUGGGCUGGCCAUGCCAUAAGAAGGGAGGAAGGAGUGGGAGGGAGGCAGAAGGGGGGUCCCUGUCUCAGCAGGGGCAGAAGGGCUGUGCUGAACACCCAGGGAAGGUGAGGAGGAAAACGUUGGAUCUCAGAGAAGAGAAGAGGGAGCUGCAGGAGAGGCUCUGUGGACUGGAGCUCCAGAUGCUCUCCAUGCUGCGGCAGAGGCAGGAGGCCCUGGGGCAGCUGCGGGCAGUGCUGCAGAAGGAGAGGAUGGCCACACUCAGGCGGCUGCAGGAGAGCCUGGAGAAGGUGAAUGGGACCAUCUGUGUCUGUCAGAACUGUCACCCAGAGGAGCUGCCAGCCCCAGGAGCCCUGAAGGAGCCACUGACCCCAGAGAGAGCCCUGCGGGAGGCAGCGACGUGUGUGUGGGAUCCAGCCCGGCCACCAUCUCCUUCCCCUUCUACACCUGGGUUGAGCCAUGCCACAGGUGCACAGAGAAGGGGUGAGCACCUGUGCCACCGCUCAGCCUCUUCCCUGCCCCCAAGCACUGUGCCCUGCCUCCAGCAGCAACACCACACGGCGCUGGGGGUCCUGCACCACAUCCAGCGCUGCCUGCGGGAGCUGCAAGUAGAGGACCUCGGUGUGCUGGGAGCAGAGCUGGGCACCACAGCAAAUGAGGAGAGGUUCCUGAUGCCACCUCUUGACAUUCCUCCAAGCCCCAACAGGAACAAGCUCGCUGCUGCGACCAGGACUCGAGAUGAAGCAUGGAGGUGGUGAUGCAUCCCUCUACCUCCCUAUGCAUACCCAGGUCGACCAGUUGUGAAGCUGCUGAACGGGUCCCACGGAAUUUCCCAUGUAGAAGCUUCUCUUAGGUCCUGGCUGGGCUCCUUCCAAGGGCUGGGGACCGCGGGACAGCAUUUUGGGUGCGAUGGGUGAGGUCACGUGCCUCCACCAGGCUGCUGUCCAAGGUCCUGCCGGGAGAACCUGGAUUCCCAACCAGCAUCUUUGCUCCUCACACUCAUUUAGGAGCUUGGAAUGGAGAGGUCCAUGUUGCAGGGGUGGUCGCUCAGUGGGGUGGGAAUGAAGGUUUUGGGUUGGGGUGAGAUAUGGAGAAGUAGAUGGGGAGUAAGGGCUGGGGGAAAUCUCGUGCCUUCCCAGGUCUGGUUGGCUGGGCCACGCACAUCGGGAGUGCUUUGGGAUGGCUGUGGGCAGAAACACUUCAGGAAAAAAAGAAGUUUAAAAAUGAGGAAUUGUUCUACUUAGGAGCUCUCAAAUAAUUUUAAAGAGGAGAAACCUAUUUCUCAGUCUUCACACAUCUCAAUGGAGAAAAUGCUGUUUUUAAUUUGCAGGAGAAUGCCCAAGGAGAGUUUCUCUGCAUGCGAGGGGGGAAAUGAGAAUUUCAUGCAGUACUGAUUGCUGCACUUCCUUGCUGGAGGAGGCAGGGAGUGAAAAUGGAAAUCUUUGUCUGCUUUCUUCCCAAUCAAAAUAAAAAUGUUCCUCAUUAUAUUUUUCUGGACUGGGGAGAUUUCUGAAUUUACUUCUGAUGCACAGCUCUGUUUGUAAGCUCCCUUUAGGUAGUGGAAGGCCACAGUGAGGUCUUCCCAGGUCCUUCUCUUCACCAGGAUACCCAAAAAUGUGAUUUUUCUGCCUUACCUCAUGCUUGCAACCUUUGGGAUGCUGAUGCAACCUUGAAAUCACCCAGUGUAAUACAAGUCCCUAUGGAAGG